GACGAACGCUGGCGGCGUGCCUAAUACAUGCAAGUCGAGCGAAUCUUUGGGAGCUUGCUCCCAAAAGUUAGCGGCGGACGGGUGAGUAACACGUGGGCAACCUGCCUAUAAGACUGGGAUAACUUCGGGAAACCGGAGCUAAUACCGGAUAAUUCAUGUCUACUCAUGUAGAUAUGCUGAAAGACGGUUUACGCUGUCACUUAUAGAUGGGCCCGCGGCGCAUUAGUGAGUUGGUGAGGUAACGGCUCACCAAGGCGACGAUGCGUAGCCGACCUGAGAGGGUGAUCGGCCACACUGGGACUGAGACACGGCCCAGACUCCUACGGGAGGCAGCAGUAGGGAAUCUUCCGCAAUGGACGAAAGUCUGACGGAGCAACGCCGCGUGAGUGAUGAAGGUUUUCGGAUCGUAAAACUCUGUUGUUAGGGAAGAACAAGUACUAGAGUAACUGCUAGUACCUUGAUGGUACCUAACCAGAAAGCCACGGCUAACUACGUGCCAGCAGCCGCCGUAAAAC
rnacentral:rRNA from 1 species